rnacentral:pre_miRNA from 1 species
UACAUACUCCCUCCGUUCGGAAUUACUCAUCCAAGAAAUGAAUGUAUCUAGAUGUAUUUUAGUUGUAGAUACAUCCAUUUUUGUGACAAGUAAUUCCGAACGGAGGGAGCACUAC